GAUGAACGCUGGCUACAGGCUUAACACAUGCAAGUCGAGGGGAAACGACGGGGAAGCUUGCUUCCCCGGGCGUCGACCGGCGCACGGGUGAGUAACGCGUAUCCAACCUGCCUCUGACUGAGGGAUAAACCGUCGAAAGUCGGCCUAAUACCUCAUGGCAUCGUCUGCGGGCAUCCAACGACGAUUAAAGAUUUCAUCGGUCAGGGAUGGGGAUGCGUCUGAUUAGCUUGUUGGCGGGGUAACGGCCCACCAAGGCUACGAUCAGUAGGGGUUCUGAGAGGAAGGUCCCCCACAUUGGAACUGCGACACGGUCCAAACUCCUACGGGAGGCAGCAGUGAGGAAUAUUGUUCAAUGGGCGGGAGCCUGAACCAGCCAAGUAGCGUGCAGGAUGACUGCCCUAUGGGUUGUAAACUGCUUUUAUGCGGGGAUAAAGUGAGGGACGUGUCCUUCAUUGCAGGUACCGCAUGAAUAAGGACCGGCUAAGUCCGUG
rnacentral:rRNA from 1 species